GUGUCAGCAGCCGCGGUAAUACAGAGGUGGCUAGCGUUGUUCGGAAUCACUGGGCAUAAAGGGCGCGUAGGCGGUCAGGCAAGUCGGGUGUGAAAGCCCUCGGCCCAACCGAGGAACUGCAUCCGAUACUGCUUGGCUCGAGUGCGGGAGGGGAGAGUGGAACUCCUGGUGGAGCGGUGAAAUGCGUAGAUAUCAGGAGGAACGCCGGUGGCGAAAGCGACUCUCUGGUCCGCUACUGACGCUGAGGCGCGAAAGCCAGGGGAGCGAACGGGAUUAGAUACCCCGGUAGUCCUGGCCCUAAACGAUGGGCACUAGGUAGUGGGGAGUCCGAUCUUCUCACUGCCGGAGCAAAUGUGUUAAGUGCCCCGCCUGGGGAGUACAGUCGCAAGGCCGAAACUCAAAGGAAUUGGCGGGU
rnacentral:rRNA from 1 species